UUCUCCUUCUUGUUUUUGUUAUUAUAGUUACAGUUAUAUAGCAUAGACACAAUUUGUUCACAAUUUUUUCUAAAUUUAUGUUUUUUUUUUCUUUUCUUUUGUUUUUGU